GGCCUCAUAGCCCAGUGGUUAGAGCACUGGUCUUGCAAGCCAGGGGUCGUAAAUUCAAUUCUUGCUGGGGCCU